UACAGAGGUCUCAAACGUUGUUCGGAAUUACUGGGCGUAAAGGGCGCGUAGGCGGUCUUGUAAGUCUUGUGUGAAAUCCCUCGGCUUAACUGAGGAACUGCACGAGAUACUGCAAGACUUGAGAUCGGGAGAGGGAAGCGGAAUUCCGGGUGUAGCGGUGAAAUGCGUAGAUAUCCGGAGGAACACCGGUGGCGAAGGCGGCUUCCUGGACCGAUACUGACGCUGAGGCGCGAAAGCUAGGGGAGCAAACGGG
rnacentral:rRNA from 1 species